rnacentral:misc_RNA from 1 species
GUGAAUCAUCGAAUUUUUGAACGCAAAUUGCACUCUCCUCUGAGAGUAUGCCUGUUUGAGGUUCAGCCUAUAAAAUAUCGACAUCGUUGCCGUUUCGCGGUGGCGUUCGUCGGAAAUUGGGUCAUCUUACAUCUUUUGGUUUUACGCGCCUUAAAAUUUUCUUUUUGGUUCCAUGAAUGUUUUUAAGAUUUAUUUCUUUACACGUUUACGGUAUCGAUUUUUAUUAGACGCGACC